CCUACGGGUGGCUGCAGUGGGGAAUAUUGGGCAAUGGGCGCAAGCCUGAUCCAGCAACGCCGCGUGAAGGAAGAAGGCUUUCGGGUUGUAAACUUCUUUUGUCAGGGACGAAGCAAGUGAUGGUACCUGACGAAUACGCCACGGCUAACUACGUGCCAGCAGCCGCGGUAAUACGGAGGUGGCAAGCGUUAUCCGGGUUUACUGGGUGUAAAGGGGGUGUAGGCGGGGGAGCAAGUCAGUUGUGAAAACCGCGGGCUCAACCGGCGGCCUGCAUUUGAAACUGUUUGUCUUGAGUGCUGGAGAGGCAAGCGGAAUUCCGGGUGGAGCGGUGAAAUGCGUAGAUAUACGGAGGAACACCAGUGGCGAAGGCGGAUUGCUGGACAGUAACUGACGCUGAGGCGCGAAAGCGUGGGGAGCAAACAGGAUUAGAUACCCUUGUAGUC
rnacentral:rRNA from 1 species